rnacentral:rRNA from 1 species
AGUGAACGCUGGCGGUAGGCCUAACACAUGCAAGUCGAACGGCAGCACAGUAAGAGCUUGCUCUUACGGGUGGCGAGUGGCGGACGGGUGAGGAAUACAUCGGAAUCUACUUUUUCGUGGGGGUUAACGUAGGGAAACUUACGCUAAUACCGCAUACGCCCUACGGGUGAAAGCAGGGGAUCUUCGGACCUUGCGCGAUUGAAUGAGCCGAUGUCGGAUUAGCUAGUUGGCGGGGUAAAGGCCCACCAAGGCGACGAUCCGUAGCUGGUCUGAGAGGAUGAUCAGCCACACUGGAACUGAGACACGGUCCAGACUCCUACGGGAGGCAGCAGUGGGGAAUAUUGGACAAUGGGCGCAAGCCUGAUCCAGCCAGACCGCGUGGGUGAAGAAGGCCUUCGGGUUGUAAAGCCCUUUUGUUGGGAAAGAAAAGCAGCAGGUUAAUACCCCGCUGUUCUGACGGUACCCAAAGAAUAAGCACCGGCUAACUUCGUG